rnacentral:rRNA from 1 species
UACGGGGGGGGCAAGCGUUGUUCGGAAUUACUGGGCGUAAAGGGCUCGUAGGCGGCCAACUAAGUCAGACGUGAAAUCCCUCGGCUUAACCGGGGAACUGCGUCUGAUACUGGAUGGCUUGAGUUCGGGAGAGGGAUGCGGAAUUCCAGGUGUAGCGGUGAAAUGCGUAGAUAUCUGGAGGAACACCGGUGGCGAAGGCGGCAUCCUGGACCGACACUGACGCUGAGGAGCGAAAGCCAGGGGAGCAAACGGG